rnacentral:rRNA from 1 species
AUGGAGGUCGGCGGCGAGGAGUUCGCGGUCGGCGUGGUGAUCUCCGCGAAGACCACCCUCGGGGAGGAGUUCGAGGGCCAGAUCGUCUCCUUCGACCGCCCGAGCAACCUCCUCGUCAUCCAGGAGGGCGUGGGCAGGGCGGAGAGGGGCGAGCGGCGGAACGUGAGGGUGCUCAAGGCCAACUACAUCCAGGAGUUCUCCGUCGUCGGCAAGUACGACGACCCGCUCGACCCGGCUGGCUGUGUGCUCGACCUUGCCGCCAUCCACGCCAGGGAGGAGGCCGCCCUCAGGCAAGCUGAGAUUGAAGCUGAGAGAAUUGGUGUUGGUGUCACCCCAGAAGCUCAAAGAUUAUUUGAUGCAUUGUCGAAGACGCUUCCAGUUCAUUGGGACAAGACCGACAUUGUUGUAAUGAAGGAGGUUCGUGUAUGCAGUCCAUACCUGCCUGAAAAUGUCAGCGGCGGAACAUCAGCUGCUAAUGAACGGGUUAAGAAAGUGCUGGACUUUGAAAGGAAAAGACAACAUGUGCGUGUACCUGGCCAAUUCUAA